CUUACAUGGUAAAUGGACGUUGUUUUAUUUUUUUAUCAAUUAAUUUAGUGAAACUUCAUAUGCUCCCUAUAUCAGUGGACAUACCACAAUAAAUUCCCUAUUCUAGAAAAACGGAGACAAUAAAGGUUCAAAACCUCUCUGACCAUCAUCAUAUGUUAUUUCAUGAUACAACUAUGCAUUAAAAUAAUAUUUUCAUAUUUUUUGAAUUUUUGAAUUUUUCUCAAAAUCUAUUUGUUAACCCCUACAAAAUAUUCAGUUUUUCGGUAAAUCCCUACAAAAUAUUCAGUUUUUCGGUAAAUCCCUACAAAAUAUUAAGUUUUUCGGUAAAUGGUUAAUAUACUGAAGCCUAUAAUUUUUAGUGUUGUUUUAAAAAUUCUAACUACAUUCUAUAUUUUGGUAAAUGGGUGCCGUUCUAUUUUUUUAUCAACUAAUUUAGUAAAACUUCAUAUACUCCGUAAAUCAGUUGACAAACCACAAUAAAAUCGUUAUUUUAGAGAAACGAAGAUGAAAGAAGGUUCCAAACCUCUCUGACCAUCAUCAUAUAUUAUUUCAUGAUACAACUAUGCAUUAAAACAAUAUUGUCAUAUUUUUUGAAUUUUACUCUAAAUCUAACCCCUACAAAAUAUACAAUUUUUCGGUAAAUGGUUAAUAUACUGAAGGCUAUAAUUUUUAUUGUUGUUUUAAAAGCAUUUACCAUAUUCUACAUUUGUAUUAAUGUAUUCUAAACUCUCUUACAUGGUAAAUGGGCGUCGUUCUAUUUUUUUAUCAAUUAAUUUACUAAAACUUCAUAUUCUCUGUAAAUCAUUUGACAACUAUGCGUUAAAACAAUAUUGUCAUAUUUUUUGAAUUUUACUCUAAAUCUAACCCCUACAAAAUAUACAAUUUUUCGGUAAAUGGUUAAUAUACUGAAGGCUAUAAUUUUUAUUGUUGUUUUAAAAACAUUUACCAUAUUCUACAUUUGUAUUAAUGUAUUAUAAACUCUCUUACAUGGUAAAUGGGCGUCGUUCUAUUUUUUUAUCAAUUAAUUUACUAAAACUUCAUAUGCUAUGUAAAUCAUUUGACAACUAUGCAUUAAAACAAUAUUAUCAUAUUUUUUGAAUUUUACUCUAAAUCUAACCCCUACAAAAUAUACAAUUUUUCGGUAAAUGGUUAAUGUUUUAAAAACAUUUACCGUAUUGUACAUUUGUAUUAAUGUAUUCUAAACUCUCUUACAUGGUAAAUGGGCGUCGUUCUAUUUUUUUAUCAAUUAAUUUACUAAAACUUCAUAUGUUCUAUAAAUCAUUUGACAAACCACAAUAAAAUCGCUAUUUUCAGUUUUUUGAUAAAUCUUUAUAUAUAAUAAAAGGGUUUGAAUUCCUCCUAGGGGAUCUACCUCAGCUGCCAGCGCACAAAUUCGAGCUCUCUGUAGCCGACACCUGUCCUCAUUAAUCAAAACGGUGCGCACCAUUUUGAUUCCGCAUGGGCUCUUUUAUUUUUUUAUGUUUUGGUAGAUUUGGGCUUCAGGCCCGUCCCUUGCUUCCUGCAGAAAACAUCGAAAGGCGUCACCCCGCUAAAGGUGUCCGAUAGAGAGUAGAAUCACCAUGCCUCUUCAGAUCCACCAUCAUCACUAACCUCCACCAUUUAUUAGCUUUUCAAAGCAUAAACCGAUAACAUCACCUAUCACUCUUCGGCUCUCCUCGCCAAUUAUAUAUUGAUCACUCUAUAGAUCCUUCACCGAAAAGUUUCCUGCGACACAGCUAGCAAGCUCUGAGUUUGAUAAAACCGUUGGCGCCAAACUCUUCGAGCAUCAUACUCACCUCUUCCUGACUCGGCGACGCUAGAUCUCUUAUGGAAACAAAGUUGUUGUCGUCUCGAUCGAUUAACUUGAACGCUUGAAUCAAAUGGAGUAAUAAUCGCACAAGUUCUUGGGAAGAACGCUGAUUGUUGAGGUUACCAUACGAUCUGUCGGCGAAAUAGGAAGAAGCACCGAAGCUGAAACAAGAAGGUGCAGAUAUGGAGACAAAAGCUUUGGUUUUGGCGGAAUUUGUUUUAAAUAGAGUACUUACUAUAUUGCUCUAUGUUAAAUUGACUGACGGGUUAUCGUUCGGAUUUGAGUCGAGCGGUUGGAUCUCAUCUUCUCGAUAGACGAAGAUUCACAGUCUGGAUCAUAACGCUGUUGCAAAGAAACGAUGAUAUGCUUAGUUAAGACGCAAAGAGAUAUGUAUAUGGUAUGAAAAUCGAGAAUUGAUGCAAGUGAUGCUGAUAAGAAGAUGGACAUGUCAGUUCAACAGUGGUUCAAGGAUCCAGUGUCCCUGUCAAAAUUUCUCCGACACUGUUCCAUCUCUUCUUUCUUUCUACAUCUCCAUAGACGGUUCCGACUAUGUGCUUUCUCCUCUUAAGAUAUAUUCUCAUGUACAGGUCAGAUAUUGCUUGGGAUAUGGUGACUCAUUUUUUAUCUCCCUAAUGAAAUUUCCUUCUUGCUCUUUAUGUAAGUUAUGCAGAUGGGCCCUUCAUAUAUGCCGGGCUUGGUGGAAGAAAAUAGUUUGGAUACUCAGGUUGUACCAGUCCCUGGCUCUGAGUUAAUCAUGGCACCUUCUCAGUGGAGCAGUAAAUAUUGUUGGUAACUUGACAGACUUUUAAAAAAUGUGGAAUUCGCUUUGUCUUUUGCCUUCAUGUUAUAUGAGUUGAGAGAAACUCUUGAUUUGUUUUUGUUAAUGUGGAGUGGACUCAAACUAUUUACCCAUGUAAACAUAACGCUAUGUAUUUUAUCUAUGAAUACCCCUAGUACUCCAAUAAAAUCAUCUUUAAUUGAUCACUCUAUUCUUUCUUCAAAAUAGAGUAAUUCUAAAAUGGAAAUGAGUUAUAUUCUAAUGAUACUCUAUAAAAUAUUUUAUAGCAAAAACAAAAGAGAAUAAAAAUAAUGAACAAAACAUAAAUGAAUUACUUAAUCAUGGAGUAAAACCAUUUUUAACUCUAUUAUAUAGUUUAAAACAAAAUUAGAAUUAUGAACAUAUUUACUUUAAACUCUAUUUUAUAUUGAAAAAUAGAGUAAUGCUAGACAUGCUCUUGGUGAUAUUUAUUCCUCUCUCAGUUUCUUAAUAUAUAAUGUUUUGAGAAGUUUUUGAUGUUUCAGUACAUAAGAUGUUUUCAUUUUUCUAUAUAACUUUUAAGUUUAUUAAAAACUGUGUAGUCAAUAGUAUUUUGUUCUCUAUUUUGUAGUUGGUUAAAUAGUUUUUAAUUUAUACUUUAAAUGAUAUUUUUAAAUAAAUAUUAAAAUUUUAACUGUUUUGUACAUGUAUAAAACAUCUUACAUUUUGAAACGCAUGGAGUAUUACUCAUUGAAUGAGUUUUAAUUGACACUAUAUCUCUACCCGCGCAACCGCGCGGAUGUUUGUUUGCAGUUUUAUAUAUGUAGAUAUUUAUUUUGGAUUAUAAGUAGUAUACAUUUUUAAAAAGUUAAUUGUAUACUUAAAUGUUUAUAUAACUAUUUCAUAUACAAUAAUUUUAUAAUUUUAUACUUUAUAUGUUGUAGUUAAUCAAUUUUUACCGUCAUAUGUAUUUGUUGAUUAUUAUUAUAUAUUUAUCUUAAUAUAUUUGUAUUUAGUUAUUAAAAAAAUUUAUAUAUGCAUAAAAUAGCAUAUUUAAAAAUUAUAUUGUAUUUAUUUAUGCUAAAUUCUGACCCACCUUUCAAAGUUGGAUUUUCUUUAAGCAAUAUUUUUUUUUUACUUUUAUUCAUUUUAGAUAAUAUAUUAUUGUAUAAAAAAAAUAUUAAUUUUCUACAUGUAGUAUAUAGUUUGCUAAUGUUAAGUCGUUCUGUCAUCAUAUUAUAUUUAUAAAAUGAGCAUUUUAUAUUUAUGAAUGGAAAUUUUUUAAAUAUAUCAAUUUAAUAUAAUUUUAUCAUUUUAGCUCAAUAUAAUAAUUUUAUUUUAACAUGACUGAUUAUGAUUAUAAAAUAGAUAAAAAAUAAUAUAAUUUUUUUAUAAACGAUAAUUGAAUAUAUAUUAAUGAUUAAAGUUAAACUAAAAUAUGCAGUUCAAGGUAUAUCACCCUAGUAGAAAUCUCAGUAAUAUGCAAGAUGUCUGUGAUCCGAUGAGUUGAGACAAAAAUCAUAUACCUUGAACUAUAGGUGAAACUCGGAUCUCUGAAUUUUAACCAUGGUUCUUGAAUUAAGGUUUAAUAUUCAGUGACACUGCAUAGGAUAGAUGGUGAUCCUUAAUAUACAAAACAGAUUUGAACUCUAGUGUUAACAACAGCUAAUGCGUUUGUGUUGAAUUUUUGUUUAAUUAUCUUCUUUGUUUUUAAAAGUCUUAAACUUAAAGCCUGUUGGCUUUAAAGCUGGUCGAGCUAAUAAUGAAUACAGAGGUUACAUGAGAAUGAAGAAGGUGACAAAGGAACUUAACCAUAUGUGUGUUACUGAUUCGUUUGUGUACGUCAAAGUUUGUGGAAGAUAUGAGAUUAAGAUUACUCAAUCAACGCAGUAAUACCUAUGGUAAUGGCUACUCAACCAUCAGAAGCAGAGCUGACAUGGAUGAACAAAUGGUGAAUGAUCAAUACGUUAUGGUAACUUGCGCCAUUAAGCUGAGAAGAUAAGGGCUCUGUUCUGUAACCAUUGCGUCAGGACAGCAGCUAAAAGUAUCUCCUCCUUAGAAUAAUCUAAGUCGUAACCCUUACGCCAAAAUUGUUUGGAAAAUAAUCGUAUCUUUUUUAAUAUUUUGCGUGGUCAGUUUAAACAUAUGAGAACUUCUUAGGGAAUAAACAGCGAAUAUUCGGAACUUCUUAGUCUAAUCUUACUAUGAUUCUCUACAACCUCCGUUAACAAAUCAUUUUCCCUAUAGAACCUGCCAACAGAAGUUAGUGGAAUAUUUUUUUACAUAAGAUUAUCCUUCUCAAGCCACAAAGUGUCAUAAACUUUGAAUUAGUCACUCUUGAAAUCCUAAUUAAGACAUAGAAUUGGUACUUAAGGUUGGCAAUCACUAAUUUCCCAUACUUAGGCUCUCUACCCUCAUCAAUCCGAAUUUUGAGAACGUACGACUAUAUUUAGUGAAAAGAAAAAUAAAUACGGCUUUGUUUCAAGAAAUCGGGAAAAGAAAAGGGAGACAACCAAGUUACCUCAAUAGCCGUAGCUGCACCAAGAUGCAGUUUAUCUGCGCAAAAGAGCUUCCUAUUGUUGGAUUUUCUUUAUUGGGUGUUUUUGCAGGUGUUCGCGGUAUAAGGUUUGAGACAGGAGAGCCGUCACAGGUGUUGGCUUUCACUGGCGCAUGCUGCUCUUAGUUGUCUUUGGAUUUUGCAACACCUAUCAUUGUCUCAUCAGUUUGAGACCUAGAAAAAACGCCAAACAUGGGCUCCAAAAAGAUUACCCACAUGCUUCAUUACUUUAUCCGACGGUUCCGUAGCACAUAUCUCUUCAGAGUAAUACUUUGAUUACUUGAUAUAGGUCACCAUGAACUUAUUAUGUAUCAGAGUAACUGAACUCCAGAUCUGUGGUGAAAGAGGGUUUAGUUUAGACAGCAAUGGCAUGAAGCGGAUCUUUUUA